rnacentral:tRNA from 1 species
UUAAGUUCAGUUGGUUAGAGACAGGGAUUGAUAAUCCCAGUGUCCCUGGUUCGAGCCCAGGUGGGACCA